rnacentral:rRNA from 10 species
AUGACUCUCGGCAACGGAUAUCUCGGCUCUCGCAUCGAUGAAGAACGUAGCGAAAUGCGAUACUUGGUGUGAAUUGCAGAAUCCCGUGAACCAUCGAGUCUUUGAACGCAAGUUGCGCCCGAAGCCGUCAGGCUGAGGGCACGUCUGCCUGGGCGUCACG